rnacentral:rRNA from 1 species
GACGAACGCUGGCGGCGUGCCUAAUACAUGCAAGUCGAACGAACCGCGACUAGGUGCUUGCACUUGGUCAAGGUGAGUGGCGAACGGGUGAGUAACACGUGGGUAACCUACCUCAUAGUGGGGGAUAACAGUCGGAAACGACUGCUAAUACCGCAUAGGACAUAGGAUCACAUGAUCCAGUGAGGAAAGGUGGCGCAAGCUAUCGCUAAGAGAUGGACCCGCGGUGCAUUAGCUAGUUGGUAGGGUAAAGGCCUACCAAGGCGAUGAUGCAUAGCCGACCUGAGAGGGUGAUCGGCCACAUUGGGACUGAGACACGGCCCAAACUCCUACGGGAGGCAGCAGUAGGGAAUCUUCCGCAAUGGACGCAAGUCUGACGGAGCAACGCCGCGUGAGUGAAGAAGGUCUUCGGAUCGUAAAGCUCUGUUGUUAGAGAAGAACAGCGCAUAGAGUAACUGUUAUGCGUGUGACGGUAUCUAACCAGAAAGCCACGGCUGACUACGUG